rnacentral:rRNA from 1 species
UACGGAGGGUGCAAGCGUUAUCCGGAAUCACUGGGUUUAAAGGGUACGUAGGCGGCUAAAUAAGUCAGAGGUGAAAGCCCGGCGCUCAACGUCGGAAUUGCCUUUGAUACUGUUUAACUUGAAUUAGGUUGAGGUGGGCGGAAUGUGGCAUGUAGCGGUGAAAUGCAUAGAUAUGCCAUAGAACACCAAUUGCGAAGGCAGCUCACUGGCCCUUAAUUGACGCUGAGGUACGAAAGCGUGGGUAGCGAAC